rnacentral:rRNA from 1 species
UACGUAGGGGCUAGCGUUAUCCGGAAUUACUGGGCGUAAAGGGUUCGUAGGUGGUUUCUUAAGUCAGAGGUGAAAGGCUACGGCUCAACCGUAGUAAGCCUUUGAAACUGGGAAACUUGAGUGCAGGAGAGGAGAGUGGAAUUCCUAGUGUAGCGGUGAAAUGCGUAGAUAUUAGGAGGAACACCAGUUGCGAAGGCGGCUCUCUGGACUGUAACUGACACUGAGGCGCGAAAGCGUGGGGAGCAAACAGGAUUAGAUACCCUGGUAGUCCCUGAGCGGG